rnacentral:snRNA from 1 species
AACUUUGCGCAGUGGCAGUAGCAGAGCCAAUGAGGUUUAUCCGAUGUGCGAUUAUUGCUAAUUGAAAAAAAAAAUAAGGAUCCAGGCUGGACAACAAAAGGCCCUGCACCUAAUCAUUCUGUGAACUGCUCCUCUAGAGACUGCAG